rnacentral:lncRNA from 1 species
UCCAAGUUAAUUGGGUCUAAUUUGGGUUCAAUCUGAAUUCAAUUCGAAUCUAAUUCGAAAAGUUCAUCAAAUCUGGUCCAAUCAGAAUUGAAAUCCAAGUCUAACUAGGAUAAUUAAAUUCAAUUAAAUCGGCGAAUCCUUCAUCUCUAACCGUGUCAUUCCCCUCACCGCCAUGGUCCACGUCUUUCCCCUAAGAAGUUGCUGCGGGGCAUGUUCGCCAGUCCUAAGAUUCAAAUCUAGAUGUCAGCGUCGCU